rnacentral:misc_RNA from 1 species
GUAAUGGAAGAAAUAGCCAUCAACAUUCGUCACAUUCACUUUGAAGUGGUUAGUAACAAGAGAAAUCUUCUGGCCUUUGGAUCCUAGACCACGCCUAGCUAUCGGAACCCUAACAGCCUUCUUCUUCACCAGUUCAGGCUCUGCUCGAAGAGGAACAACAUCCGGCGGAACAACCGGUGGAGGAGGCAAGUCGUUCUGCGACCCAUUUUUAUCUGGCUCAAACGACUCCAUUACUUCUUAGAAUUCAAAGUAGGCUAAGUCAGUCAGAGACAGCGGCUACAGUGGUGGAAAGGCAGUGGCCGGCGAGAACUUGGUUGACCGUAAUCUCUCUCUCAAGCGGCUACCGAGGUGUUUUUUUUUUUUUUGGCAAAGCUACUUAAGAGAUUACAAA